rnacentral:rRNA from 1 species
UACGGAGGGUGCGAGCGUUGUCCGGAAUCACUGGGCGUAAAGGGCGCGUAGGCGGCGCGGAUAGUCGGCGGUGAAAGCCCGGAGCUCAACUCCGGGUCGGCCGUCGAUACUUCCGGGCUUGAGCACUGUAGAGGCAGAUGGAAUUCCGGGUGUAGCGGUGGAAUGCGUAGAGAUCCCCAAGAACACCAGUUGCGAAGGCGGCUGACUGGACACAUAUUGACGCUGAGGCUCGAAAGCAUGGGGAGCAAACAGG